AUGCCUUGGCAACCUUUUCUAUACAGAUCCAACUCUGGAGCCUGGCAUCGACAGCAGACAAAACAUCCCAGAAAGCACUUUAGAAAGAUGAAAACACUGCUCGUCAGUUUCUUUCUCCUUUGCCUCACAGUUUCUUGUGCCAGCAUAUUAAUUUCACAGACACCCUCACUCAUCAAGAAACCUGGAAAAAGUGCAAAAUUUGACUGCAGCCACGACCAAAGCAGCUACUUAUACCUCUAUUGGUACCAAAAAGUAUCAGAAGACAAAGCAAUGCAGCUCAUUGGGUACCUCUACAACACCCAGGAUAACCCAGAGAAGGAGUUCAGUGAGCACUUUAAACUCAGCGGAGAUGCAAAAAGCCAGGGGCACUUGCAGAUCUCCAACUUAAAGGCAGCAGACACUGGGGUGUAUUUCUGCGCUGUGAGCCAACACAGUGCUGCAGAUCCCCUGUCUCCUCAACAAAAACCACCCUUUCUCCUCCAUCACUUUUUGCUGUGGAGCUACUGCUCCUCAAGCAUGUGCCAAAUUUACCGCUAAUUCGGUGUACUCUACCAUCUAAGUGACAUGACUGGUUUGCAUUCAAGUUUUGUGUCAUUGGUAAACAAACAAAUCUAGGAAGAAAUAUCUCAAUUCAUCCUCUGUCCACAUUACAGUUCCGCAAACCUCUUAUUAUGUUACAGUUUUGCAUUUCAUUUCUUUAUUUGUGUUUUUUUUUUCUCAGGUAACUCUGUGAUGGUCCUUAUAUCUCAAUGGCCUAGAUACAUAUCUGCUCGUCCAGAUGAAUCUGCAGAAAUGAACUGUUAUCAGAAUGAGACAGACUACCAGUACAUGUACUGGUACCAGCAACGGAGAGGAGAAGGUCCAAAAAUGAUGGCAUCCUUCAUGGCUGGUUCUCCGACCUUUGAGGAAGGCUUUAAGUCUGGCUAUGUGGUGUCGAGCUCAGAGGCUAAGCAGUGGUCCCUGAAAGUAGAGAGUGUGAAAGAGCAAGACGAUGCAGUGUUUCUAUGCGCUGCCAGUGUACACAGUGACACACGGAGUAUCGCUCCAACGACAAAAAAGCCUGGGCAGAGAGCCAGUUCUAUUUCCUCCUGAGGUCCCUCUAAAGAUUUCACACCACUUCUUUGCAUGCUUUUAAUGACCUGUUUGCUUUCUAUGCUUAUUUUAUUUUCCAGCAGUACAAAUCAGCACUGGGAAGAUGUCUAUUAAUUUCAUGAAUCCUUUGGCCAAUGUACAGUACAUUACAGCACAGUAUCAGGAAACUAGAAUGAAAGCCAAAUAUGACAUCCUUACUCAUCGCUACUACAUUUUCCCAGUUUCCAAAGAAUGUAACAAAGAAGUCACUGAGAGAGAACCUUUCUGAACACAGGACACUUUGAUGUGCAUGUUUUGUAUUUCACACACACACAUACAUUGACAGAAGCCACUUGUCCCAAGCGGGGUCGCGGCAAACCGGAGCCUAGCCUGACAGGCCAGUCCACACCCAGGAUGGGAUGCCAACAAAUUCCCACAGAAAAAUUCAGAGACAAGCGAAGAAAAUCCAAGUAAAAUAAAAAAGUAAAAAGAAAAUUUUUUCUGUAGGGG
ensembl:lncRNA